CAGAGACUUCUGGAUCCUUCAACACAAGGGUUCUAACUCUGCUCUUCUUUGAUUUCUCCGCGUGUAGCUGGUGACCGUGGAGGAGUUCAUAACUGUUGCUGUCUUCCUCAUCUUUUUCCUGCUUUUAUUUUCGUUCUGGUGUUGUCGGUGUCCGAGGAGCUGAGUAGUUAGAGCUGGAGGAUCUAUUUGUAAGUCACUUUGGUUCUUGGUUGGUUGUUGUGGCUGUAUUCCUCCCCCCCUCUGAUGCAUCGUGUUCGGAAUUUCCCUCCCCUGUUUAGCUUAAGGAUGUUUGGAAGGAGGGAAGCUCAAAUGGAGUCAUAAGGAAUGAGUUUGGAGCCUUGAGGAUACUACAGAUAGCGUAGCGGACCGUGUACCUCCAUUAGAUCCUUAAGGGCAUUUUGCUUCUGGACUGAAGUUGAGACACCAUUUUGGUUAAUUUUUAUUUUGAUGUAAAUUUAUAAUUCAUAUAUCGUAUUUUUACAAAUAAUGUUUUAGGUGCUCCACAUAGA